AGUGAACGCUGGCGGUAGGCCUAACACAUGCAAGUCGAACGGCAGCACAGUAAGAGCUUGCUCUUACGGGUGGCGAGUGGCGGACGGGUGAGGAAUACAUCGGAAUCUACUUUUUCGUGGGGGAUAACGUAGGGAAACUUACGCUAAUACCGCAUACGACCUACGGGUGAAAGCAGGGGAUCUUCGGACCUUGCGCGAUUGAAUGAGCCGAUGUCGGAUUAGCUAGUUGGCGGGGUAAAGGCCCACCCAGGCGACGAUCCGUAGCUGGUCUGAGUGGAUGAUCGGCCGCACUGGAGCUUAGACACGGUCCAGACUCCUGCGGGAGGCAGCAGUGUGGAAUAUUGGACAAUGGGCGCAAGCCUGAUCCAGCCAUACCGCGUGGGUGAAGAAGGCCUUCGGGUUGUAAAGCCCUUUUGUUGGGAAAGAAAAGCAGCAGGUUAAUACCCCGCUGUUCUGACGGUACCCAAAGAAUAAGCACCGGCUAACUUCGUG
rnacentral:rRNA from 1 species